UGUGCUUCUCGUCAAUGGAGCAGAAUGCUUGCAGAAGCUGAAUGGGGACUCUGCAGUUGUAGUUGCUGGUUUACACAAAAGGCAACAACUCAAAGGGUCUGAAGAAGGGGCCCAAUCAAAAAACUCACCUAUGCCUGUCCUCUAGAGAUGCUGCUGCCUGACCCGCUGAGUUACUCCAGCAUUUUGUGUCCUGUUGGGACUUGGUAAUUGUCAGGAAGGGGAGGAUAGAUCGAACGUGGUGGAAGACAGAGUUAUUUAAGGAGGGAAUUCCAGAGUUUGGGUCAAGACGAUGGUGGGACAAAGGAAAUGGGGGUCAGUUAAGUGAUGUGAACGAGAUUGUUGUGUUUGUCUACGAGAGGAAUGCACGCGAAGGAGUUAGUCCAAUGGGACUGAUGACUAGUGGAAGUGAAUGGAUCCAUUAAACCUGGUCAAUGGGAAUGAAUGGAAAGUGUUUCUUCCGUUGGGAUUGUCACCCAGUGGGGUUGAAUUGGAAUGGACUGGGUUCAAAAGGACUGAAUGGGAAGGGAUGGGUGCGUGGAUUGCAAGAAUGAAUGGGGGUUUUGAUAUAAUGAGCUUGUAUGAUAUGGGAGUCAAUGUUCAUAAGUUCAUUAGUCUUGGGAGCAGAGUUGGACCAGCCUAUCGUCUACGCUGCCAUUCAAUCAUGCCUAGUCUAUCUUUCCCAUAUAACCUAAUUCCACUGCCUUCUCCGCACAAUCCUUAUUAAUCAAGAAUCUGACAAUCUCUGCCUUAGCUAUACCCAAAGAUGGCCUUCACAACUGUCUGUGGGAAUGAAUUCCACAGAUUCGCCACCCUCUGGCUAACGAAGGGUAUGGAGAGGAUGGGUUUGGAGGAAGGGUUUGGAGGAAGGGUUUGUAGGGUAUAGAUUGAAGGGACGGUUUGAAGGGACGGUUUGGAGGAUGGGUUUGGAGGAUGGGUUUGGAGCCAGAUUCAGCAAGGCGGCGGCAGGCUGAUGAGCACUAUGUGUAACAGUGGGAGCUGGAUAGUUUCCAGAGCUUUGUGCUGUAAAGCAGUUUGAUGUGCUACAGGAAAAUGAUUUCAGUAAACACAACAGGCUGAUUUCCUUGCCUUGAUUAAAGUCCUUCGGAGUAAAUUGCAUAUAAUUUCUGCAUGUUGAAUGUAUCUGUGAAAUGGCUCUAUUGACAGAUCGAGGGUCGAUAGAAGGAAUGAGCUGUCAGGAGCGAGAUACCGAUGUCACCCGCAAUGAGCUGUGCAUUUUUAACUGUUUUGCUCUGAAACAGAUGCCUCGCAGCCUCAGGCUGCUGCUAAGACUUCAUCAAGAGCCCUUUCACUAUCAUCAAGGCCGCUGCAUGUACCAUCAAGGAUCUCCACCAUCUGGGCCAUGGCCUCUUCUCGCUGCUACCGUCGGGCAGGAGGUACAAAAGCCCCACACCACCAGGUUCACGAACAGUUACUCUCCUACAACCACCAGGUUCUUGAACUGACCCACACAACCCAAAUCCUACCUCGGAAACGGAACAGACCGACCCCCUCUUGCACUGCUGGGGACUUGUUAUCUAAUUGAGUUUUGCACCAAAUGUCUUGAUUUUUGUCCCUUUUUCUUUUCACUGUCUUGUACAAUUUAUGUGUAAUUUGUGUAUAAUUUAUGUUCCAGUGUAUUGUCUGAGUCCAUGUGCCUGUGAUGCUGCUGCAAGCAAUAUAUCCAUUGUACCUGAACCUCACCGUGCUUGUACAUCUGACAAUAAACUCAACAAUCUCAGG